AAGCGGUGGAUGAUGUGGUUUAAUUCGAUGCAACGCGAAAACCUUACCCACCUUGACAUGUACGGAACCCUUAGAGAUAGAGGAGUGCUCGAAAGAGAGCCGUAACACAGGUGCUGCAUGGCUGUCGUCAGCUCGUGUCGUGAGAUGUUGGGUUAAGUCCCGCAACGAGCGCAACCCUUGCCAUUAGUUGCUACGAAAGGGCACUCUAAUGGGACUGCCGGUGACAAACCGGAGGAAGGUGGGGAUGACGUCAAGUCCUCAUGGCCCUUAUAGGUGGGGCUACACACGUCAUACAAUGGCCGGUACAGAGGGUAGCCAACCCGCGAGGGGGAGCCAAUCCCACAAAGCCGGUCGUAGUCCGGAUCGCAGUCUGCAACUCGACUGCGUGAAGUCGGAAUCGCUAGUAAUCGCGGAUCAGCAUGUCGCGGUGAAUACGUUCCCGGGUCUU
rnacentral:rRNA from 1 species